UUCAUAUUUCUUCUGUGUCCUAAAGGACCGAUUUCUCCAUUAAGGGUUGAUGGAAAGGGGUCUUUGUGUCCCAAGUUAUUUAAAAUUAAGGCUUCUUGGGUUUUAUUUUCAGCUUUAAAAUGUUGAAGGGUUAUGAAAUGUUGAAGUAUAUGUAUGGUUUCUGGAAUUGCUAAUUAGGUAUAUUACUUAUUAGCACCCUAAUUUUACCUUCAGGAAUUAUCUUGAAAUGCUGCUUAUUCGAUCUUCUUGUAGGAAAUCUUCAAAGACCAUGUAGUACAUUUCCAUCUGUUUUGCAUGGCAGUCUGUGCUUAAUAAGUACUUAAAUGCACAUUGAAUAAAUGACACAUAACCUGGGGAUUAUAACUUUAUGGGAAGAAACGAACUGGUUUUAAACCUAAUUUCCUAGAUGUGUGACAUGUGAGGGGGAGGGAGAGCUUUGUGUGGGUUGGUUCGGGUUAGGAAAAGCAGGUAGAGUUCUCCAGCUCCCAGCUCACGUCUCCCGUGUGCGUCCACUCACACCCAUACUCCAGUUUCCUGUGUUCACAAAGUCAAGUGCUGUACUGGAAAAAUGAAUUGAACUGAACUGUUCUAGUUAGACCCUGAGGAAAAUCAUGCCCUUUGCUGGGCCUGUUUCCUUUACUUAGAACAUUAUCUAGAAAAGAAGGGUGUAGAGUUCAGUCAUUUAAAAACAUUUUCACUAGUGGGAGCCUUUCUUUAAAUGAAAUCUUACCAGAAGCCCCCUGUGUAAAUGAGAUUUUCAAAACUUGCUCUUUGGGGUGGGCGAGCUGUGGGUUGGCACACACGAUGGGCUCAGCUUCUCCCUGCCUUCCUUGGGCGGCACUGAAUUACCUUCUAGACACCGUGUCUGCUCUUAUGAGCAGCUUCAAAACCACUGGCCUAGGACACAUGGCGGGAUUUGAGCGGUUUUAUAAAAUAUAGUACUGAUUUAGUAUUCUGCACUACCAAAAUCUUUUUUAACCAAGAUCCCAGUAAGCAUAUAUCCUGUAUUUAAAAAUGGAAAGACGUUAGCUAAAUAUCAAAAUGCCUUGAGAAGCAAGUUGAUAUUGCUGAAUGUUUUCUUUUACAGCAAGAAUAAUAACAACUUUAAUGACCACCAGUGACUUUACAAUUCUUGUGCGAUUUGUGAUCAUGCUUGCUUUGAACCUGUGGGUAACAGCCACAGUACGUCACUACAGGACGACAGUUGGAAAGGCUGAAUGAUGGAUGCGUUGCUCCAACACACAAAGUGGUUUCCUAAUAACCAAAGGGGAAAAUAAGCUCACUGCUAAAUCAAGGUCUUCUAUAAAUUUAGUCAACUGUUUCAGAAACUUUGAAGCUGGAGGUAUUUUAGACAUGAGCCACUUAGACACUUGUUUAGAAACGUUGAUUCCCUCCCUCUCCUCGGCCUCAGGAGGUGGGGGGCAGGGCUCAGACACCUGCAGGUUGAGCAUCAUGAUGAAGUUCUCUCCAAAGAGCUAACUACAUCUGGUUUUCAGCUUUCAGAAUCUUGUAAGAAAUAAAUCCUCUCCAUGGCACAUUAUGAAUGGAGUGGGAUUUUUCCCAAAGUCAGAAGUGGAACUGUGGUAAAUUACUAGGGUUCACUUUCUGGGACUGUUUAAUUUUAACACAGAUUUAACAGGCUGGCCUUACUGUAUCAUAAUACAAUAUAGUACCUCCUUAUGCUAUAAGGACAUCGAGGCAAGCAAAAAUUGGCUUGAGUUCAUAUACCAAAGUUAGUCCUUUAACCUCAUAUAGUGCCUUUAAGUAAUUCCUAAGGAAAGGUACUAUUAGCUGCAAUCUCUACUUAGGAUGAGGCAGUCCCGAUGAACUUUCUGAUUCAAGCAUAAUGCUGCCGUUUUUAAAAGGGUCACACCUUUAAAAAAAAAAACACAAACACAUCUUGUCCAUUAAUACAUACAGUAAAGGGUAUUGCUGGGUUCUGCCCAGUUCUUACGGAUUUCAUUCUCAUUGUAUCAUAUUCUAAACAUAAGAUUAUUGGAUAGUGCAUUUUACUAUAAAAGUUUAUAAACUCUAAAAUUUAAAAACUCUUUACCCUUAUAAUUGAAUGGCAUUAUUCUGUUAUAUGUAAUAAGUCAAUAGUGUUUGUUAGAAAAUGUUUUAGUUUCCUAUGUCAAAUAAAACUUUCAUAUUCUGAACUCUG